UACGAAGGGGGCUAGCGUUGUUCGGAAUUACUGGGCGUAAAGGGCGCGUAGGCUGUGCUGUAAGUCAGGCGUGAAAUCCCCGGGCUCAACCUGGGAAUUGCGCAUGAUACUGCGGCGCUUGAAGACGGGAGAGGAUGGCGGAAUUCCCAGUGUAGAGGUGAAAUUCGUAGAUAUUGGGAAGAACACCGGUGGCGAAGGCGCACUCUGGCCCGUAAUUGACGCUGAGGCGCGAAAGCGUGGGGAGC
rnacentral:rRNA from 1 species